CAAUUCGACGCAACGCGAAGAACCUUACCCAGGCUCGAAGUGCAGAUGACCAUCGGCGAAAACCGACUUCCGCAAGGACAUCUGUAGAGGUGCUGCAUGGCUGUCGUCAGCUCGUGUCGUGAGAUGUUGGGUUAAGUCCCGCAACGAGCGCAACCCUUGUCUCCUGUGGCCAUCAGGUAAUGCUGGGCACUCUGGAGAGACUGCCAGUGACAAACCGGAGGAAGGUGGGGAUGACGUCAAGUCAGCAUGGCCUUUAUGUCUGGGGCUACACACGUGCUACAAUGGUCGGUACAAACCGUCGCGAGCCCGCGAGGGGGAGCUAAUCGGAAAAAGCCGGUCUCAGUUCGGAUUGUAGGCUGCAACUCGCCUGCAUGAAGUCGGAAUCGCUAGUAAUCGCGGAUCAGCAUGC
rnacentral:rRNA from 1 species